rnacentral:rRNA from 1 species
UACGUAGGGGGCAAGCGUUAUCCGGAUUUACUGGGUUUAAAGGGUGCGUAGGUGGGUAGGUAAGUCAGUGGUGAAAUCUUCGAGCUUAACUCGGAAACUGCCAUUGAUACUAUUUAUCUUGAAUACUCUGGAGGUAAGCGGAAUAUGUCAUGUAGCGGUGAAAUGCUUAGAUAUGACAUAGAACACCAAUUGCGAAGGCAGCUUACUACAUAGUUAUUGACACUGAGGCACGAAAGCGUGGGGAUCAAACAGG